AACGAACGCUGGCGGCAGGCUUAACACAUGCAAGUCGAGCGCCCCGCAAGGGGAGCGGCAGACGGGUGAGUAACGCGUGGGAAUCUACCCAUCUCUACGGAAUAACGCAUGGAAACGGGUGCUAAUACCGUAUACGUCCUUCGGGAGAAAGAUUUAUCGGAGAUGGAUGAGCCCGCGUUGGAUUAGCUAGUUGGGGGGGUAAAGGCCUACCAAGGCGACGAUCCAUAGCCGGUGUGAGAGGAUGAUCAGCCAAACUGGGACUGAGACACGGCCCAGACUCCUACGGGAGGCAGCAGUGGGGAAUAUUGGACAAUGGGCGCAAGCGUGAUCCAGCCAUGCCGCGUGAGUGAUGAAGGCCCUAGGGUUGUAAAGCUCUUUCACCGGUGAAGAUAAUGACGGUAACCGGAGAAGAAGCCCCGGCUAACUUCGUGCCAGCAGCCGCCGUAACAC
rnacentral:rRNA from 1 species